rnacentral:misc_RNA from 1 species
AAUUUGGUACAGAUGAUAAAAGGUCAAGUAACAAAAAAAAUCAGAUCAUAUGACUUUUCCAAAAAAAAAAAGAUAAUAUGUAAAAAUCAGGUUACUUUUCAGGAAAGAGGGGAAAUGUAGACAAUUUAUAAUAUAGAAUAACAAAGACACAAAAUGGCAACAAAGGAAGAUCAAUUACAGUGUGAUAGGGAGUUGGAUGUUUUUUCUACCUGUUUCCCAUGCUUCGAGGCAGGAAGGAAAAAAAAGACUAUCAGAUACUGUGCCGAAUGUAAGUCAUACUUUUGUACACAAUGUUUAGAAGACCAUAACAAGUUUGCGGUACUACGUAAACAUCAUAUCAUGGACAAACCUGUUGCUGCUGGGCAUUCCAGUGAGAAGGAAGCCAUAUUGAAGUUAGAGGAGAAUUUCGAAGUUUCAACCGCUUGUUCAACGUGCUCUGAGGUAUGGAUAACAACAGAGGCCAUCAGUUUUUGUGUGGAGUGCAAGUCAUACCUUUGCGAGCAAUGUUUAGAGGAUCACAACAAGUUUGCGGCUUUACGUAAACACCAUAUUGUGGAUAAGUCUGAUGCUGCCAAGCAACUGGGAGAAACUGAUCAGUCGAAGAGAAUUUCUGCGUUAGAAUGUAGCAACCACUGUGGACAACACAUUGACAGCUAUUGUAAGGAUCAUGAUGAAGUAUGCUGUAGCAUUUGUGUGAUCACUAAACACAGAUCCUGUAGGAAAACAGAAAAGAUACUGAAGAUAGAAAAGAAGCAAAGGCGUAAGCAAUUCAACUGAUAUUAAACAAUCCCUAAAGACAUUCCUUGAGUAUGCAAAUCAUGUAAAGAUGGAUCGAAAUAAUAACUUAACAGACCUAAAUGAAGAAAAGAACCAAAUCCUAGCUGAUAUUGAUACAUUUGAAGAGAAUAUAACAGAAAGAAUUAGAGUGAUUGCUGUAGCGUCAAGAGACAUCGCAGUGAAACUGAACCAAGGUCAUGUGUUCUAUAAUUCAAGACAUCGCAGUGAAACUGAACCAAGCUCAUGUGUUCUAUAAUUCCAGACAUCGCAGUGAAACUGAACCAAGCUCAUGUGUUCUAUAAUUCAAGACAUCGCAGUGAAACUGAACCAAGCUCAUGUGUUCUAUAAUUCCAGACAUCGCAAUAAUACUGAACCAAGCUCAUGUGUUCUAUAAUUCAAGACAUUGCAGUGAAACUGAACCAAGUUCAUGUGCUCUAUAAUUCCAGACAUUGCAAUGAAACUGAACCAAGCUCAUGUAUUCUAUAAUUCCAGACAUGGCAGUGAAAUUGAACCAAGGUCUUUUGUUCUAUAAUUCAAGACAUCGCAGUGAAACUGAACCAAGUUCAUGUGUUCUUUAAUUUCAGACAUUGCAGUGAAACUGAACCAAGGUCUUAUGUUCUAUAAUUCAAGACAUCGCAGUGAAACUGAACCAAGGUCAUGUGUUAUAUAAUUCAUGACAUCGCAGUGAAACUGAACCAAGGUCAUAGACAUCGCAGUGAAACUGAACCAAGGUCAGGUAUUCUAUUAUUCCAGACAUCACAGUGAAACUGAACCAAGCUCAUUUGUUCUAUAAUUCUAAGAUAUUGGAAUGAAACUGAACCAAGGUCACGAAUUCUUUAAUUCCAGACAUUGGAAUGAAACUGAACCAAGCUCAUGACUGGGUUCUAUAACUCCAGAUAUCAGAGUCAAACUGAACCCAGCUUAUGUAUUCUAUACUUUCAGACAUCAGAGUGAAAUGGAACCAAGCUCAUGAGAUAUCAGAGUGAAAUACCAAGUAAUUAAUGUGUUCUUUAAUUCAAGAGAUCAGAGUGAAAUAUUUAGUAGAAAAUAUGCUCUAUAAUUCCAGAACAGGGAGAAAAUGUGUAGGUUACAGAGUAGUUCAGUCAGUAGAGUAUUGGAAAGGUAUUGUGAGGCCGCCGGUUCCAGUACCAGUCUAGCUGCACGUUUUUCUCACCCUGUGACAAACAACGAGAUUUAUGUUGGCCAUGAUGGACAACAUAAAUCUUGUGAUUCCGUUUUCUUGAGCUUUUUUAAAUCAGACAUGAAACGCGUUAUAUUUUCAGAUCGCAAUAUUGUUUGAAGGAAUGCAAAAUUUGCAGGAUUGGAUGCGUAUUUUUCGACUUGUAGUUUUCUAUCCAACUUCACAUUUGUUCUGUUUAUAUUGAUGUAUGUUUUGCGAUCUUUGUGUUUGAGUUACUUUUCAAAUUGGGAUUUUGGUCUUUUUCUAUCAGGAGUGACUGCAAAUUUUGCAACCAUUGGAUGCUCCUUUUCAAGAUGUUCGUUUUGUAUCAGUCUUGCGUUUGUAAUGUUCAUAUAU